rnacentral:lncRNA from 1 species
AUAAAAUUAAUGUUUAUUUCAAUGUAUUUUUGUAUAUCGAAACCAGACCACUAGUAGUAUCCAUGACCAUGUUAAAUUUUAAAACCGAAUACAAUAUAGGCCUACAUGUUAGAUUUUAGCAAAAACAGUAUACAUGUUAAAUUUUAAAAACCUCAAAUUAGUAAGUCUAUAAUAUGCUUCAAAAUUAAUUCAAACAGAAAUAUCAACAUCAAGUCAAAUACAAAAUUUAAAAGUACGAUUUCUGUUCAUAGGUUGUUAAAUAUAUACCGUACAUAGCGACAUGUAUAAAGUGUUUCAUGAUACGAGUUCUGCCAGAGCUUGCAGUCUUGUUCUUGGUGGAUUAUUGCAUUUCUGGCAUCAACACUGGCAGCAGCCACUGUGGCCUUAUGCAUGUUUCCAAACAGUCAUACGUUCACAUUGUUCCACAUAUUUCUAUUCAAA